GCCCCCUCCGUCCCCAUCCGUGAGUUCCACGACAGGGGACUUCGACCAUGCCUGCGUGCAUCCUAGGUUCCUCCACAUCAGCCCGACCUCCCACAAGUGGGCGUUCGUAGGUUUCACGCCCUUGCCAAUCCAUUCUCUGAUUUGGUUUGGUUUGGUGGAGAUGUAAUAGUUUGAUAGUUCUCAGUUUGUAGAACAAAGGGUACCAGCUAUAUCUGAACUUCUUGAUAAUGCAGUAGAUGAGG